AAGAGGAAGUGAACAGCUCUGUCAAACGCUGCUGCUGGGUGGAGCUCCCUGAAGACAGAGAGUGAACCUUUGGUUUUCGCCAUGUAGAGAUCUGCUGUCCUGAGACUCAUGGCAAAUCCCAGGAGCCACCUAUGAUGUGCCAGACACAUAAGCCCCUCCCUCACAGGCGUGGGUGCAGCUGGGGCCGACCGCAUUCCAAGGAGCAUUUCCUCUGAAAGCCAGGCCAAGUGCCCGCUCUCCAGCGUGAGUCAAGCAGUGCCAUGCCUCCCACACCCCUUGCAUCACAUCUCUGGGAAUGCACAGACCUUGCUGUUACACUCUCUCUUCCCACCCUUUAUGGGUGUUUUCUUUAAGUGGCAGAAGGAAGUGGGCAUGGGUUGGGAGAGGACCAUGAAUUCUAGUUUCUGCCAUACUGCGGGUGAAUUUGGGGAAGA
rnacentral:lncRNA from 1 species